CCUACGGGAGGCAGCAGUGGGGAAUAUUGCACAAUGGGGGAAACCCUGAUGCAGCGACGCCGCGUGAAGGAAGAAGUCUUUCGGUAUGUAAACUUCUAUCAGCAGGGAAGAAAGUGACGGUACUUGACUAAGAAGCCCCGGCUAACUCCGUGCCAGCAGCCGCGGUAAUACGUAGGGUGCAAGCGUUAUCCGGAUUUACUGGGGGUAAAGGGAACGUAGGCGGUUUAGCAUGUCAGAAGUGAAAGCCCGGGGCUCAACGUCGGGACUGCUUUUGAUACUGUUGGACUAGAUUGCAGGAGAGGUGAGUAGAAUGCCUGGUGUAGCGGUGAAAUGCGUAGAGAUCAGGAGGAACACCAGUGGCGAAGGCGGCUUACUGGACUAUAAAUGACGCUGAGGCUCGAAAGCGUGGGGAGCAAACAGGAUUAGAUACCCCUGUAGUC
rnacentral:rRNA from 1 species